UGCAGUGCUUUAUCUAGUUGGAUGUCAGUCACGUGAAAUUCAAGUGCAUGACACCACACUGGGUAGAGAAAGGCUCA
ensembl:miRNA